rnacentral:rRNA from 1 species
AAAUAGGGAGGCUUUCGAAGGUGAUACACAGGUGCUGCAUGGCCGUCGUCAGCUCGUGUCGUGAGAUGUUGGGUUAAAGUCCCGAAACGAGCGCAACCCCUAUCCUAUGGUUACAAGUGUCUUAGGAAACUGCCUCGGUAAAACGGGAGGAAGGUGGGGAUGACGUCUGGUCCGCAUAGCCCUUAUGUCCUGGGCGACACACGCGCUACAAUGGCCGAUACAAUGGGAAGCCAAAUCGUAAGAUGGAGCAAAUCCUAAAAAGUCGGUCUCAGUUCGGAUUGAGGUCUGAAACUCGACCUCAUGAAGUUGGAUUCGCUAGUAAUCGUGGAUCAGCCAUGCCACGGUGAAUACGUUCUCGGGUCUU